GAGAAUUUUAAUGUAUUACUGCUAAUAAUAUUAAGGGUUUAAAUAACUCAGUUCUUU
rnacentral:tRNA from 1 species